UUGGUUUAUUAGGCUGUUGUUCAUUACAUGAUACAUUAAUUGUAAUAAGCUAGGUGUUUAUAAACUUGUUCAAGCUUGACGCCUUUAUUUUCUAAUAUACAUUUCAAUUCCCACAAGGAUUUCAACAUCAUAUCUGAUACCAAUGAAGUAUUUACAGGCCAUGGAUGAUGACGUCGAGAAUGUGUGGAUGACAGGAUUUUUCAAGCCAACUUAAUGAGAAAAAAACAAAACAAAAAAAAAACACGUUUAUUUGUGUUUAAAUUCAAACAACACAGACUGAACCUGAUUGGUUCCAGAGCCAUUGAACGGCUCUGAUUGGUUCGUAUGAUAAUGAGCUCGCAGCAGAGAGCUUUGUAAAUCAAAUAUGAUGUGCGUGCAAAUGUCCCUUGAAUGUGAAUAUAAGUCUAAAUUUAAACAGUGUUAUAUUAUAUAGAGUGAUCGUGUCUCUUUAGGGCGCUUGGAGGAAACGCAAUUCAUAUGGAUUACUUUGGCGAUGUUUUUUUGCGAUUAACUUUUUGAAACGUGAACAUCUUUGAUGAAUCUUUUAAUCACAUAAUUGGACACAUAAGGAACAUAAUUCUCUCAGAUUUCAUUAAAAUAUCUCCGCUUUUCUUUCGAAGAUGAACGAAAGUCUUAGAUGGUUUGGAGCAUCUUAAGGGUGAGUGAUGGCAGAAUUCAAAUUGUUUUGGGGGAACUAUGAAAUUAAUUAUAAAAUAUGUAAGGGAUAAUCAACGGCUAGCUGUGCAUUAAACGAUUUGAAUGCAGGACGUGGAGGCGAGGAACCACCCGACGCGCAGCGGAGUGCAUUCAAAUCGUUUAAUGCACAGCUAGCCGUUGAUUAUGCCGUUCAUGCCAUGGUCAUUUGCCAGCAUUCACAUAUUAAAGAUGUUAAUAAUUUGUGCUGCAAUAUUUGACCGGAACGAUAAAAAUGACGGUUAUUUUCGUCUGUAUUACUAUUCAACUGUAAUUGUAUGUUACUAUGGUUACCAAUGUUUAUAGGAAGCGCAUUAAUAUAGAACGUGAUUAAACUGACCUGGAACUACCUGCAGUUCAACGAAUUUAAUCAACACCUGCCAGCCAAUCAGAAUCCAGUAUUCAGACAGACCAUGGCAUAAAGCGGUAUGUUCUUAUUGUUACCAGCUUCUGCGAGCGUGUAUGAUGUCUGGCUUCAGAACCUCACUGUGACUUCAGAUAAGAACAAAGAUUAAAUUGUAAGAAGGGUUGCUUAUAAAAGCAUACAGUACAUCUGAAACUGCGGAGGCUGGUAAGGUUUUUGACUAUAUUUCCGACCAGGUACAUUGUUCUGUCAUUCUUAAAUAGAAAACAAAUCAUCAAUCAUCAUUUGCCUUUUUUUGUGCGUGUGAGAAAUAUUAACAUUUGUUGUUUUUCAGAUCAACUGCUAUAGAAGACCAAAUGAAAUCUGAGUGCAAAGACAUGCAAAGGAAUACUGCAAGACACUACUGACUAGGCUGUGCCCAGGUCUCCGGAACCUGCGACGACACUCAGCUCCAUCGGCCCUUAGUCUGCGGCUUCGGAUCCACCAGCUCUGUCUCCAUUGGUCGGCCCCCAGAUGUCAGCAGCCACACCAUCUACAUCUUGGCUCCUCGCUCCCUCGACUCCGCCGUGUGUUGUCAGCACUGGGAUGCUCUGGGUCUGUGCCAUGUGCCAAACUCCAUCUAAGCCGCCAGGGCAUCAUCGUCAUCCUCUCAUCACCAUCCCUUCACCAUCUCCUCGUCCACCUCCAAAACCCCUCCAUCCCUCCCUAUUCUGUUGCUUGAACUUUAUCAUCUUCAGUCUUUGCACACACAUCUAUUCACUUUACAUGUUUUUUUUUUUCUUCAGAAAAUUGCAUUUUAAUUUUUAUUUAUUCAUUGAUGUAAAAUUCUUUACUUUUCAGUAAUACAGGUAUAACUGAAAUGUUCUACAAAUGGAUAAGAUGGCUCUUCCAUAGCAUUUCAGUCUUUUUUUCAUUUAUGUUUUUUGUAUAAUGUUU